rnacentral:lncRNA from 1 species
UUGCUUUAUCUGGAUCAUAGCAUAUCAAACAUACAUGGUGUAAAAAUAUUUAUAUCAUGUAGGAUUGGCGUACAAGGAUUCUUACUCUUUGUUGAAAACUCAAACAACUAAUCAUCCGCCCUCACGGCGAUCUAUGAAUCGAAAUGUGCAGGACUCUGCUCAACAUCCUCUCGUCCAAUAGAUUGUUCUCUUACAGAACCAAGUCAUCAUUAAAAUUUAUCAAAGAUAUAUGAUGAUCUAGGACCCCUGUUUAAUCCUCUAAAGGGUCCCCUAAAAUUUAGCAUCCCAAGACUAACCAAUAAUCCAUGAUCUCCCUG